AUUGAACGCUGGCGGCAGGCCUAACACAUGCAAGUCGAACGAGUGGCGGACGGGUGAGUAAUGUCUGGGAACCUGCCUGAUGGAGGGGGAUAACUACUGGACACGGUAGCUAAUACCGCAUACCAUCAGAUGUGCCCAGAUGGGAUUAGCUUGUUGGUGGAGUAACGGCUCACCAAGGCGACGAUCCCUAGCUGGUCUGAGAGGAUGACCAGCGACAGUGGAACUGAGACACGGACCAGACUCCUACGGGAGGCAGCAGUGGGGAAGAGUGCACAAUGGGCGCAAGCCUGAUGCAGGCAUGCCGCGUGUAUGAAGAAGGCCUUCGGGGUGUAAAGUACGUUCAGCGAGGAGGCGUUACCCGCAGAAGAAGCGCCGGCUAACUCCGGGCCAGCAGCCGCGGUAAUAC
rnacentral:rRNA from 1 species